rfam:Oryza punctata chromosome 1, whole genome shotgun sequence.
UUUAAACGUAUCCAUAAAGUUUCCGUGUUUAACUUUGAUUGUUUGUUUUAUUUGAAAUUUUUUUAUUAGUAUUUUUCUUGUUAUCAUAAAUAGUAUUUUAUGAGUGACUUAUGUUUUUAAUUUUUUCAUAAAUUUUUCAAAUAAGAUAGACGAUUAAAGUUGGACAUGUAAGCUUAUGGUUACGUUUAAA